GAGUAAAGGAAGAAAAUAGCCCCAUUGGGGUGUAAUGUUCCCUGGCCUUAUUGGCACACAUCUCGGAUUGAUGAGAAUUUAACAUAUUUCCUCAACUAGGAUUUCUUAGGACUUUUAAUAUGUUGUUCUGGACACCUCAGAGAAAUAAUCUAAGCUUCAAAAAAUUAUUUUACAAUUUAUUCUACUUUUGGCUCCAAAAGGGGUUAGUUUGCCUGGACUACUAGGGAGGCACUUCACCUAGAGUCUGUCUAUUAGCUUCACCUGCCUCGGUGUUUUGAGGAUUUCAAUUAUGUCUUGGAAUGUCAGUUAAUGAUGUCAAUCAGUUAUGAUGGGUUUUUGAUUGGGGGGAGGUGUCCGGGAGGGAAUGAUCAGGGAAUUAGAUAGGUCAGUUAAUGAUUAGGGGUGGGGUCACGAGAGUGAGCUCUACAGCGUUUGUCUUGUCAGAGAGCUGAGAAGAGUAGUGUUGAACUUAGAGCGAGUGUAUUUAUUUAACUUGUUUUUAUUUAUUUAUUAUUAAAUCGUAGAGUUAAUUCUAAGUAGUGUUCAGUAGUUUGUGGUUUUAUUUAGAGACACUUCCUACUGCCCGUUGUCUAGGCUGUACAUUGACAGGUAAACCUAAAAAACAUAUACCUCCGGUCUCCGCUUCCUUGGGAAAAAGUUCCACGAUGCCACACUGGCGUCAAGAAGCGAGAUGGUAAAAACCUCCGCCUGUCGUCUAACUAAGCCACGAGGAUGGCAAAUUGCCUGGAGCAGAGGACGCGACCCGACAUAGGCUGGACUACCGAGGGAGAGAAAAUACAGGAGGGUGUUAGCGGGCCAGCGAUAUCCGGCACCAACCUCUCCAACCUUUCAGUAGUUUCUGACGGUUGCGCUGGUGUCGGGCACAUGUCUACCUCAGAAGUACUUCAGUGUACUGGUCUUCAAGAAGAUUGAUCUCUGCUGGCUUCAUCAUUCCAAAGGCCCAUUUCCAUUACCCACAGGUGAAGUCUGUGCCGUGCUCCUGGGGUGAGCCACCCUAAAUCUGGAGGAGCUGAACACGCAGCGCCAGGUGAGGGGUGGGGAUCCUCACGGGUAUGCAAAGAGAGUGAUCUUUCAGCCUGGGUUUCUGGGGGGGCUGUCGGUAAACUUGAAGGAGCUGAACACGCAGCGUCAGGUUAAUCUAGAGACCCCCAGGAUCAGUCAGGGUUGAGGUCAUCAGGGUCAAACCUUUCCUUGCCAGUGAUUUGACGGCCACUGGGAGGAGACAAGACGUAGACGUUGGACCCACCAAAUAACUGUCAACGUAGCUAAAGCUCAUUCACCAGGACAGAGUCCCUCCCCACCGUCGCUGACGACCACUGGGGGGGGAAGCGAAACGCAGACGACGUGCUGAAUAAAGGCCCCUACCAUGGUGUGGUUGACUUAGUUCUGGAUCUAAACUCUCCCUGCCGGUGCCUAUUACAGUGUGUACUGUAAUAAAGAUAAACAUUUUAGAAAUAAUAUGGAACAUUUUAAGGGCAGCAUUCAAAUAUAAGUCUUUAUAUUGACUAAAUUAAAAUGACAGGCAUAGACACGUGUAUCCCUGUGCUCCAAAUGACUGUGAACAGAAGUGCACUAUAUACAUGUGUACAACAAAAUAAUCCAUGUUUUUUUGUACAUAUGUACAUUUUCAUAUAUUCAGAAUCUAUUUGAAUUUAUACCUAGUAGCCUAGAGAACAUUAAACCUUCAGAAUAUAUUCACGUAUAUAGACAUGGAUAUAGAUGAAUAUAGAUAGUUUAUUCCUUUCUUACACCCAUCUUUGUUUCUCUGCCUCGUAGAAAGGAGACUCCUGAAACGCCUUCCAGUUCAUCUCCUUGGCCAUGCCCUUAUCUCUGUGUAGAACGGUGGCGUCUCCUGAGAAUUCUCAGGCGGGGCAAUAUUUCUGAUAAUGAUUAGGCAGCCCAUUUAGUAGAUGCAUUAAGCAACACAAUUGUAUCAAUUUGUUGUUAGCUGAUUAACUCAUACAGCAAUACCUUUUUGUCCACUUGAUGGACGCACACAACAGAAAGCUGUCCCUUCUAGCUACAUACGUUACAGGUGGAAAGCUAUGGAAGUAAGUUGCAUCCAGGAGCCUUCAUAAGCAAAAAUGUGGCUCCACAAUACAUUAUCCCACUUAUUCAUUAUUCACAUUACUCACAUUACAAUUGAUAUGUCCACUAACAAUAUAAAAAAGGGAGCAACAUAAGUCAAAUCCAACAAUAUUUUUUGACUGAUCUUGAAAGUAUUGGCUUACAAAAGCAAAAUAAGUUAUCACAUAGAAAAUAACUCGGGUGUUAGUGCAAGUAGCGGUAGUAGUAGUGGUAUAUAGAAAUACAGUCCGUGUUAGCCACUUCACAGCCUGCUAGCCACGAUUUUCUUUCGUACCAAUUCUUGGAAAACCCUUGGGUGUAGGUCGUCGUCCCCCCCCCCUUGUAGAAAUCUGUUGAAUGGAUACAUUUCGUCUAGGAGGUCCAAAUUGUUUUGUUGCCAAUUUAUCAUCAUUAGUACGCCAACUAAAAGGAGUUUCUUUCAAAGAGAGACUUGAGUUGUUUUACUGAACGCUAGCCAUCUUGACGGAAUGUGACUUAAUCAAAGCUGUAUGACAUACUUAUACGCAGUUGGACCACCAAUGGAUGGUGCUGGUCCAGGGGAUGGUGUGCCAGGCGGCGGUGUCCAGCUGGAGGGGGGUGUUGCUUCUAGGGCUUGGGCAGGACCGGGUGCAUGCACACUGGACGGAGGCACAAGAGCAGCAAGUUCAUCUCUCUUUUGGGUUCUAUGUUUGUCUCAAUCCAGAGGGACUGGACAGCAGCCUGGUUCUUGGUACUCUAGGCCAAACCUCUCUCCGGUGUCUGUCAGAGAGGUGGAGUGCAAGGUACUUGUCUUGCCCAGUCACUCUCUUAGAGGCAGAGUUCAACUCCACUAUUAAAGCUGGAUCAAAAACAGCAGGGAGGAUGACACCUGGCUGCUUAAGGUCCACCAGCCGUUGGUAAUUCCACCGUGCCACCCCGGUCAUACCCUGGGCCUGGAACAAUUCGGUGGAGACAUGAGUCCCCGUGAUCCACUGGGCCUGGUGGAAAUGGUACCCCUCCUGCUUUGAUGUACCUCUGACAGGGAUCCAUAUCGGAACUUUGGCACCUUCACCAGGAGCAUGGUUCAGCUGAAGAGUUCCACCAUACCGGUACAUUAUACCCUCUGAGAGUUCAGGGUCACUGAGGCAACCACGGAGAAUGUGCACUCUCUGUAUGCGCCAUAACUUCAGCAUAGAUGGCUUAAAGAGUGGGACAUUGUUGGGGUCCGUAGCUAAGUGAAAAUGUUUCAGGACUUUCUCCACUCUGUCCAGCAGCUCUGUGGGUUGUGGUAUCUUGGUCCUACAGUGCUCUCGUGAAUGUUGUUUGGUGGGAUUGGCUGGAUGAAUACCACAGAACUCAAAGGCGUCCUGGAACCUCUUUAAGUCCUCCUGAUCCACCACAGAGAAGGCAGCGGAGAGGAGCUGGCAGAAAGUGCUGUACAAAGGGUGAUGCUCAGAGGUGCACUCCCGUGAAAAACGCCUCAAGCAGUGGAACAAGUCCAGUUUCACAACGAUGUUGGUGUUGUAAUGUGACCGUGAGGCGAAAGCAUUUGCCAGCAGUUCAGAGGUGGCUCCAGCAACAACAGAAAGGGUAGUCUUCCAGGCAUCCUGGGGUGCUAUGUCUGUAAUCUUGUGACAGUGGAGUGGAUGAUGUCACUCGCUUGUGCCGCCACACAAUAACAGCGAGGGCAUGUGAAUUCUCGUGGCAUAUAGUAUGGCCUAAAACAGUUCUAUGUCUGGAAAACGGAUACGUUCUUUAACAGUUAUAUAUCCGGGAUUACACCAUCUGGAGUUAACAAAGACAGCCAGCCCUCCACCUUUCGACUUAUCACUCUGUUUAUCCCUGUUGGCUUGCACCACCGUGAAGCCGUCGAGUCCACUAAACAGUCUGGUAUAUUCCCAUUUAGCCAUGUCUCCGGGAAGCACAACAUGCUGGACUCCCAGUACUCACCUUUGUAUUUUACCAGGGCUGGUAGUUCGUCCGUCUUGUUGGCGAUCUCACAUUCCCCAUGACUACCGAGGGCAGGUAGGGUUUAAAUAUCAAAAUUACACUUUGUGCCAUCAGUAGCCAUACUGUAAACAAAGGAACACUUUAUAGAUGUGUGUUACCAUUUAUUCUCUAAAAACAAUGUAAACUUUGCUCAGCCGUUACAGGUAUUUGACGUACAAAAGCUUUGUUAGCUGGUUUUGGGGCUUUCUGGGACGGAGAAUCAGGGUUGUCCUGCCUGGUGCUCCAGAUACGCAGAGAGUUCCCUGAUGCUCGAGGAAGGUAUACAGGGUUCAGACCUGCCCUUGAUUGAACCUCGACACAUAGCUGGCUAUAACUUCCCGCUUGUUAGGUUUCUCAUACUUGGCAGAGAGAUCCUCGGGUAUGGGGAUCUUCAUUACUUCAUUCACAUAAGGGGCCGGGUCCUAAAAACCUUGUGAAAGAUGAGGUCCAACAGGUUAUCCACGUAGUCUGUAAUACAAAAAAAAAGAUUGUACCUUUUUUAUAUAUAUAUAUAUAUAUAAUCCAACCCUGUUACAAUGUUGCACAUUUUGCACUUUUUUUGUAUUUAUAUUUUCUUUUUGUAAUUUAUUUUCUAAUUAUAUUAUUAUAUUUAUUGUGAAGGCCAUUUAAAGAGAGCAGUUCAUUUAUGUUUAGGUUUCACUUGUUGUAUAAGAGCUGUUUGUACAUUGUUUUGACUUAGGAAUUUUAAUUUACCAAAUAAAAAAAUGAGAAGCUCUUACAACUAAAUCAGAGAUGAAUGACUUUAUGAAGUAACCGAGGGUAAACAAACCUGUACUUUUUUUAGUAAGGUUGUGGGGGUUUCACAGAAAGCUACAUGCCAACUGUGCACAUCUUUGGUGGAUCCGUCUGGCAGGCCACAAGAUGUACCCUAGCUAGCACACUGUCCAGAUGUACUUGCCUAAACAACAAGAGCAGCAAUGCAUGUUUUUUUAAAAAUAUAAUCUCAUUAUCCUUGCAGUGCCAUGCAUACAACAUGAACUAAAAGCAAAUAAGUAUCUGGCAUUUGAAGAAAUGUAGUAUCCCAUUACACACAUAAUAUAAUUUUCACUGAAGUGUAGGUACAAUAACAUUGGCAUACUAUGCAUGCCCUACUUGCAUUUUUCUCCAAAAUCAUCAUGAAAUAAUCAUACAGUAAAUAGGAUUUUUAGAUUUGCAAUUUUACGGUGAAUGGUUUUGAUAGAGACAGUGUCUAAACAGCGCUAUGAAGUCGUAGUGGGCAAAAAUAUAUUACAUCCGUAGUGGUUUAGCAGCAGAGAAGAAUGGGAAAUGCUAUAGGACCGUUUAGCUGAAUCAUUAUCGGCUCCUGCGCGGAAGUCAAGGGUUUAAACGCAGACCACAGAACACAAACGACUAGGAAUUGGGUUUAUAUGGUGUGAAACGAGGCUCGAAUAAGAUGUAUUGUUUUAGGAGUGACUGUCUACAACAGCGAAGAACAAAUUCCAACGUUGUUGCUUUCCAGCCAAUGCUCUUCCUCGUUAGUAUAGUGGUGAGUAUCCCCGCCUGUCACGCGGGAGACCGGGGUUCAAUUCCCCGACGGGGAG